rnacentral:rRNA from 1 species
GACGAACGCUGGCGGCGUGCUUAACACAUGCAAGUCGAACGCAGUGGCGAACGGGUGAGUAACGCGUAAUCAACCUGCCCUUCAGAGGGGGACAACAGUUGGAAACGACUGCUCAUAACGCAUACUGAAGGAGGGGAUUGCGUCUGUUUAGCUAGUUGGGGGGGUAACGGCCCACCAAGGCGAUGAUCAGUAGCCGGUCUGGGAGGAUGAACGGCCACAAUGGGAAUGGGACACGGCCCAGGCUCCUACGGGGAGCAGCAGUGGGGAAACUUCCGCAAUGGACGAAAGGCUGACGAGGCAACGCCGCGUGAGUGAUGACGGCCUUCGGGUUGUAAAGCUCUGUUAAUCGGGACGCGGUACCGGAAUAGAAAGCCACGGCUAACUACGUGCCAGCAGCCGCGGUAAUUC